rnacentral:rRNA from 1 species
UUAUCAUGCAAGUCGAGGGGCAGCGCAGUGUUAGCAAUACAUGGGCGGCGACCGGCAAACGGGUGCGGAACACGUACACAACCUUCCUUUAAGCGGGGAAUAGCCCGGGGAAACCCGGAUUAAUACCCCAUAGUACGUCGAGAGGGCAUCCUCUUGAUUUUAAAGAUUUAUCACUUAAAGAUGGGUGUGCGGCUGAUUAGGUAGUUGGCGGGGUAACGGCCCACCAAGCCUACGAUCAGUAACUGGUGUGAGAGCACGACCAGUCACACGGGCACUGAGACACGGGCCCGACUCCUACGGGAGGCAGCAGUAAGGAAUAUUGGUCAAUGGACGAAAGUCUGAACCAGCCAUGCCGCGUGGAGGAUGAAGGUCCUCUGGAUUGUAAACUUCUUUUAUAUGGGACGAAAAAGGGUCUUUCUAGACCAACUGACGGUACCAUGUGAAUAAGCACCGGCUAACUCCGUGCCAGCAGCCGCGGUAAUACGGAGGGUGCAAGCGUUAUCCGGAUUCACUGGGUUUAAAGGGUGCGUAGGUGGGUUGGUAAGUCAGUGGUGAAAUCCCCGAGCUUAACUUGGGAACUGCCAUUGAUACUAUCAGUCUUGAAUACCGUGGAGGUCAGCGGAAUAUGUCAUGUAGCGGUGAAAUGCUUAGAUAUGACAUAGAACACCAAUUGCGAAGGCAGCUGGCUACACGAAUAUUGACACUGAGGCACGAAAGCGUGGGGAUCAAACAGGAUUAGAUACCCUGGUAGUCCACGCCCUAAACUAUGGAUACUCGACAUACGCGAUACACUGUGUGUGUCUGAGCGAAAGCAUUAAAGUAUCCCACCUGGGGAAGUACGAUCGCGAGAAUUGAAACUCAAAGGAAUUGGCGGGGGUCCGCACAAAGCGGUGGAACCAUGUGGUUUAAGUUCGAUGAUACGCGAAGGAACCUUAACCUGGGGCUAGAAUGCAAAUCGACCGUGGGGUGAAAAGCUCAUUUUUGUA